CAAACUCUAUCAAAGCCGCCAAAUGAACAGUAAUGAACAUAAUGAAUAGUUAGUGGGCUCCACAAUCCAGACUUUUACAACACUAGUAACUUUAUAGGGCUACAACUUCUCAAUAAGUGAAGAAAUAAAAGGUCCUCCAUAUAAAAA